rnacentral:rRNA from 1 species
CACGUAGGGGCCAAGCGUUGUCCGGAUUUAUUGGGCGUAAAGAGCUCGUAGGCGGUUCAGCAAGUCGGGUGUGAAAACUCUGGGCUCAACCCAGAGACGCCACCCGAUACUGCUGUGACUAGAGUCCGGUAGGGGAGUGGGGAAUUCCUGGUGUAGCGGUGAAAUGCACAGAUAUCAGGAGGAACACCGAUGGCGAAGGCAGCCCCCUGGGCCAAUACUGACGCUCAGGCACGAAAGCGUGGGGAGCAAACAGG